UCAGCUCCCCUCUGCAGUAAAUCUAUAUAAAUCCUGUAUGAUAUUGUAUGAGAGACACACAGGUUCCAUCUUUACACACAAACACAAUGAUAGGCCUUAACAGCUUUGUUACUUUAUCAGUUCUUCUGUUCGGUUCAGUUGUAUCCUACCCUGAUCAUGCAG